rnacentral:rRNA from 1 species
UACGUAGGGUGCAGGCGUUAAUCGGAAUUACUGGGCGUAAAGCGUGCGCAGGCGGUCUCUUAAGACAGGUGUGAAAUCCCCGGGCUUAACCUGGGAACUGCGCUUGUAACUGAGAGGCUAGAGUGUGGCAGAGGGGGGUGGAAUUCCACGUGUAGCAGUGAAAUGCGUAGAGAUGUGGAGGAACACCGAUGGCGAAGGCAGCCCCCUGGGCUAACACUGACGCUCAUGCACGAAAGCGUGGGGAGCAAAC